rnacentral:rRNA from 1 species
UACGAAGGGUGCAAGCGUUACUCGGAAUUACUGGGCGUAAAGGGUGCGUAGGUGGUCGUUUAAGUCCGUUGUGAAAUCCCUGGGCUCAACCUGGGAAUGGCAGUGGAUACUGGACGGCUAGAAUGCGGUAGAGGGUAGUGGAAUUCCCGGUGUAGCAGUGAAAUGCGUAGAGAUCGGGAGGAACACCAGUGGCGAAGGCGGCUACCUGGACCAGCAUUGACACUCAA